AUGUGGCGCUCUCCUGUGAUCCGGUGGGCAAUGUUGAGACGGCAGGCACACGAGAUCCGGGGUCCUUUGCCUGUGCAGGCAGCUCUACCAGCUGCCAGUAGAGGGCGCUGCCUGGAAGCACGUGGCCAACCACCUGGCCCUUCGCUGGGAAGAUCUGGAGGAAGGCUCUCCGACAUGGUAGCUGUUGGUCACACGUGGCAGGGGGACACUUGAAACGUGGCUAGUCCAAAUUGAGAUGUGCUGUGUGUGUGAAAUACACACUGGAUUACAUCAAUUUAAUACCAAAAAAAGAAUGUAAAAAAUCUCAUGGAUAUUUUUAUAUUGAUUAAAAUGAUAAUUUUUGAAUACGUUGGGUUAAAUAAAAUAUACUGUUGAAAUUAAUUCCA
rnacentral:lncRNA from 1 species